AGUGAACGCUGGCGGUAGGCCUAACACAUGCAAGUCGAACGGCAGCACAGUAAGAGCUUGCUCUUACGGGUGGCGAGUGGCGGACGGGUGAGGAAUACAUCGGAAUCUACUUUUUCGUGGGGGAUAACGUAGGGAAACUUACGCUAAUACCGCAUACGACCUACGGGUGAAAGCAGGGGAUCUUCGGACCUUGCGCGAUUGAAUGAGCCGAUGUCGGAUUAGCUAGUUGGCGGGGUAAAGGCCCACCAAGGCGACGAUCCGUAGCUGGUCUGAGAGGAUGAUCAGCCACACUGGAACUGAGACACGGUCCAGACUCCUACGGGAGGCAGCAGUGGGGAAUCUUGGCCACUGGGCGCCCGCCUGCUCCCGCCCUCCCGCGUGGGUGAAGAAGGCCUUCGGGUUGUAAAGCCCUUUUGUUGGGAAAGAAAAGCAGCAGGUUAAUACCCCGCUGUUCUGACGGUACCCAAAGAAUAAGCACCGGCUAACUUCGUG
rnacentral:rRNA from 1 species